UCAAUUGUACACCCCUGGUGUUCCUAUUUAUUGAAAAACCGUGAUAAACAAAUUGUGCAGCAAACAAAGAUUGGUAUAUACCAAGGAGCUAUAUAAUAAUCUAUUAUGUAUGUCCUUGGCAUUUCCUCCUUAAAACACUAAACAAUCAACUAGAACCUACAAUGUAAAAAUUUAGAACAGCCAACUGCUGCUACCUUCUCAAUUAUAAUUUUCACUGGCAUCAGCAAUGAUUUCUCCAUGUUGCAUACUGUACUUAGAUUUCACAAGGGCCAGGCAGCAUUUUUGUUUUAUUUUCCUUUGUGAGCAUUUAAAGUCAAAGUAAUUUCAAAUUACCAUAAUUGAGGAAUAAAUGCAAGGUAGGUCAGCGAUAAUUAUGUCACCCACCAAAACAUAUUAUUUAAUACCAUUGAUAUAACACUUUGAUAAUUUUACACUUGUAAGUAUAUAUUUUUUAAGUACCAAAAUACUAGGAUUAAAUUAAUUUGUAUAUUCCUAACUACUGUUUAAACGUCAUUUUAGUUAGCGACUGUCACGUCACCCACCGUACUCAAGGUAGCGACUAUCACGUCACCCACCGUACUCAAGAAGAGAAUAGAUAUCACGGUACCUGAACCACGUGACUUUUUCGGCUAUGUGUGGGACAAUCGGAUGUAAACAAAACGUCGCUUCAGACUUGAAAAGGAUUAGUCGAAAGAUCUGUAACGCUUUUAAGGUUCGAAGCUGUGUAAGAACUACAUGAACACCAUCAAACCACACGGAAGGUGAUAUGUGGCAAGUUAAAAAUCAAAACCACGGUGACAGAGACAGGGACCCCGCUUCAUUCUGUGAUGUUUAUGGAAAGCUAUUUCAACUAACUACGCAAACAUACCAUUUAACAUGUAUUUUUGCAUAAGCAAAACAAAGUGUGUGUAUUGAUAUGUGUGUAUAUUUAUCGGUUUUGUAUCUAUGUUAUUACUAAAAUUGAUUAGAUGAAUAUAAAAUCUGAUAAUGUGUGUUAAUAAAACAGGUGUUUCAUAACAAAUAAUUUAAAUCCAAU